rnacentral:lncRNA from 1 species
GCCUAGUGUUUCUUUCUCUGCCUGUGGAUUAUGAUGUAAAGCUCUCUACUACUGCUCCAGUGCCAGGCUUGCCUGCUUCCCACCAUGAUGGCCAUGGACUAACUAACCCGCUGAAAUUGUGAACAAAUACUCAGCCCAGCUGAGCCUCAAAUUUGUGAUCAGCUUCCUGAUUAUUGGGAUUCCAGGUCCCCAAGGAGAAGCCAUAAGGGCUGAGCAAUCUACAUUCCUUUAUUCUCUGCGCACUGACCAGUUGUGGAUCUCUUCUGCAUUAAUUGACAUCUAUUGCAAAAAGAAGCCUCUCUGAUGAAGUUUGAGACUCAUAUUAAUCUAAACUGUGUAUUUGGGGGCUAUCCUGUCUGCAAGUAAGACUCCCCAAAGUGUACAUCUAAACUCUAGGAGAAGGAAGCAUCUGCAAUGUGGCCUCAGAGUGCAAGGUGCUUUCUGCUCAGAGAAGCUUACUGCACCCUGUGGCUGAAGUCUCAGGGUUGAUCUAGGAUCCAUGGAAAAUUUUCAGAUCAUUGAAAUCAUGGCAGCUUCUUCCCCCAACACUGACAUUUAAUGGUAACAUAAAACCAGGGAGUUUAAGUGCUA